GAUGACGGUAGGCGAGGAAUAAGUCCCGGCCAAUUACGUGCCAGCACCCGCGGUAACACGUAUGGGACGAGCGUUGUUCGGAAUCAUUGGGCGUAAAGGGCGCGUAGNCGGCGAGGUAAGCCUGGUGUGAAAGACCGCAGCUUAACUGCGGAACCGCGCUAGGAACUGCUUUGCUUGAGUUCAGGAGGGGGAGCUGGAAUUCCAGGUGUAGGGGUGAAAUCUGUAGAUAUCUGGAAGAACACCGGCGGCGAAGGCGAGCUCCUGGCCAUGAACUGACGCUGAGGCGCGAAAGCGUGGGGAGCGAACAGGGUUAGAUACCCUGGUAGUCCACGCUGUAAACGAUGUGCACUAGGUGUUGGGCCACGAAGGUUCAGUGCCGGAGUCAACGCGUUAAGUGCACCGCCUGGGGAGUAUGCUCGCAAGGGUGAAACUCAAAGGAAUUGACGGGGGCCCGCACAAGCGGUGGAGCAUGUGGUUUAAUUCGAUGAUACGCGAGGAACCUUACCAGGGUUUGACAUAUGCCGGAAUGUGCAGGAGACUGCGCAGCCCUUCGGGGCCGGUAUACAGGUGCUGCAUGGCCGUCGUCAGCUCGUGCCGUGAGGUGUUGGGUUAAGUCCCGCAACGAGCGCAACCCCUACCGUCUGUUGCCAGCAUUCAGUUGGGGACUCAGGCGGAACUGCCGGUGACAAACCGGAGGAAGGUGGGGACGACGUCAGGUCAUCAUGGCCCUUAUAUCCUGGGCUACACACGUGCUACAAUGGCCGGUACAGAGCGAAGCAACACCGCGAGGUAGAGCAAAUCGCAGAAAGCCGGUCUCAGUUCGGAUUGGAGUCUGAAACCCGACUCCAUGAAGUUGGAAUCGCUAGUAAUCGCGCAUCAGCAUGGCGCGGUGAUACGUUCCCGGGCCUUGUACACACCGCCCGUCACACCACCCGAGUUGGGGGUACCCGAAGUCGUUUGCCUAACCUGCAAAGGAGGGCGGCGCCGAAGGUAUGCCUGUAAGGGGGUGAAGU
rnacentral:rRNA from 1 species